CCUACGGGAGGCAGCAGUGGGGAAUAUUGCACAAUGGGGGAAACCCUGAUGCAGCGACGCCGCGUGAGUGAAGAAGUCUUUCGGUAUGUAAAGCUCUAUCAGCAGGGAAGAAAUAUCGACCUUUGGGUCGCCAGACGGUACCUGAUUCAGACGCCCCGGCUAACUACGGGCCAGCAGCCGCGGUAAUACGUAGGGGGCAAGCGUUAUCCGGAUUUACUGGGUGUAAAGGGAGAGUAGACGGCAGCGCAAGUCUGAAGUGAAAUGCCGGGGCUUAACCCCGGAACUGCAUUGGAAACUGUGCAGCUAGAGUGCAGGAGAGGUAAGUGGAAUUCCUAGUGUAGCGGUGAAAUGCGUAGAUAUUAGGAAGAACACCAGUGGCGAAGGCGGCUUACUGGACUGUAACUGACGUUGAGGCUCGAAAGCGUGGGGAGCAAACAGGAUUAGAUACCCGGGUAGUC
rnacentral:rRNA from 1 species